rnacentral:lncRNA from 1 species
GCAAAACCUUUUAGUGUCUAGUAUCUCAAUUGGCACAUCAUCGCUUUUCCAACCUAUCCCAAUGGUUAAAUUGAUUCAAAAACUAGGCCUGACUCACAGAAUGAAGUAAGAAAGUCCAUACCUUGAAAGGAAGCUUCAAAGCUGCAUUGCAAGUAUAUUGUCUUAUUGCCUUAAUGGAGGAGGCUCACCACCAGAUCCAGUAAAGAAGACCCCCGAGUUCAAUCUGGC